GUGUAGAAGGAAGCAACAGCGCUCCUGCUUUGGAACAAGAGGGAGUGGACAGUUCAGCUUUUGAGUCAGAGCAGGAACCUUCAGGCACAAAAGGCGAGUGUAACCGGCAGAGUAGUCACUGUCUGGGUGAAGUUUGUCCCUCUGCAGCUACGGUAUCCCUCUGAUGUCACGGUGUCCAGCUGGCUGCUGAGUGGUUAACAAUUCAUUAGCAGCCAGGCCAGGUGCUAUAUAAGUCUUCACUGUCGGGCUAAGAGAGAUUCCCUGGUCUACAGUCUUGUUGCUGUCUGGAUGUGUGGCUCCUCUGUGUAACCAAGGUAUAUGUAGAUGUUUAUACGAUGUAGCAGGCUAAGCAUUUAGCAUUGUUUGUUUAAUACUGGGUUAUUGGAAAAUAGGUGUCAGACUGAUUGCCAGACGCUUCCGGUUAGUCGUGCGGUGUACUACCGAAGGUAUUUUUGUGCAUCUUAUUGCGUUACAAUGUGAGUGUCAUUGUGGGACAUGCCUUUCAGUUUAAUGAGCAUAUCUGCACAUAGGUCUCGGGCAAGGCACCUGCCGGGUAGCUGUACCACAAACGACCUCCUUGCCUUCUUCCCUCUUUCUCCAGAGUAUUAAAGCAGCUGUUCAUAGGAGAGGUUCCUGGGUCCGUCUUCGUGCACUGCACCUCGUAUUGUAGUGGUAAACUGCACCUCACAAUAUUGAUUGAAUCACUUGUUUGUAGUGGUUGUGCCUAUGUGUGUGCGUGGUGUGUAUGCUUUUGACUAUAGGCACCAGAGUUUAGAGCACGGUUGGUGAACUUCACGUUUAUCCCGGACAGGUCUUGGAGAUGAUACUCCUUGAAGAAGUGCUACAGGAUGGAGAUGCUGCCUACAUAAAUCUGUCUCUUACAGAUGAAGUUACUUUAGGGCAGUUGUAAACAAGGCCCGGUUCAGAAAGAAGGCACACUAUGCAUGGCUUCACAUCGAAUCAAGCAGGAAUAUCUGGAGGAGUAUCAUCUGAACUGAGAUCUGUUGCUGUGAAGAUGGAGUUUGUUAAAGAAGAGAGUGAAGAGAACACGAGUGAACCAGAAACAUGGAGAAUAAAACACGAGGAACCAGAAACCCGGAGAAUAAAACAAGAGGGACCAGAAACAUGGAGAAUAAAACACGAGGAACCUGAAACCCGGAUAAUAAAACACGAGGAACCAGAAACUCGGAUAAUAAAACACGAGGAGCCAGAAACCUGCAUAUCUCACGAACAAGGAGCCCAUCAUGCAUCUAACCAUCCACUCGGCGUUAAGAGCUGUUCAGAUUAAAACUGGCAGCUCCGCAGUGAGUCAGUGUCAUGGACGGAAGACAGAUGUAGCGGGUAUUACCUCAAUUACUAACGGACCAGGAAUAUUAAAUCAGAAGACUGUGCGGUAUGUAAAAUGAGGUGGUGGUGAUACUGAGUAACAGGCAGAGACAGAAGGUAAGUUGAACCAAUACACUUUUCUUUGAGUACAGUGAUUUUUUCCUUUAGUGUUUUUUUUUCUCAAUCACAUAAACAUAGUACAAUAUAAAAAACUAAACAAAAUGAAAUGAAAACAAAUAACUAUACCCUGGGUGCACCCUCUGAAUAAGUUUUCAUAUACUAGUAAUCACAAUCAAUGUAUUCAAUGGAACACAAAUUGGAGAAAACAAUCAGCAGUGGUUUUACAUUUAACCCACUUAAUGCAGUAUUUCAAGAUCAAAUGGAAUAUCAAUUGGAAAAUUGAUCAGUCUUAAACUUUUUCAAUUGUGCUCUUGAGAUGUUUCAGUCCCCCCCCAAAAAAACUGUAAUAUAGGCCUAUAUCAGUCUCUGUAAAUUAGUUCUCUUACUUAUCUCAGGAAGAAAUAAUAGAACUGAAAAUGGUCCUUUCCUCUAAGUUCGUGAUCUUUUCAGAAUCGAAGUGGGAGGCUCGCCAUCAAUUAAGGGAAUCCAUCUUGAACAACAUUCACACAAAAAAAACCCUGGCCUGAUCACAGACCAGAAUAUGCAUUCAAUAUUGUGUUACAAUUAAAUACAUAACACAGAAAGCAAAUACAAUACAUACAUGAAUACCAUCAUCAUAGUAAAUGACAUUAUAUUCAAUUACCUGUUCAUUCACGUCUUUCUCUUUUUUUUUUUCCACAGGCACGCGCACUAAAAAUGGCGUCAGUGAUGAACACUUAAUACACCAUGCGGUCUGAGACAACCACACUGCAAAUAAACAAUCCAACCCAUAAAACA
ensembl:lncRNA